AGGCCAGUGACAUCACAAGCAUUAACCCACUUUAUCCUCCUGAUCCAGUAAAGCAGGUAUUCCUAGUUCUGGUUCAUAAAAGAAGAAAGUCAGCUAAUAGGAGUCAAGGAACUUGCCAAAGGUUAAAGUGUGGGUGGGACCAUUCCUCCUUUGCCUGACUUCCAAGAAAUGCCUUUGUAUGUUUCACCUCCUCCAUAGCUGCUUCAGGAAUAUUGCAGGAACAGAAAAGGAAUUGGAGCCAUGCACUAACCCAAUGGGGACAUCCAACGAGUCUUUCUAUUGGGUGUCACAUCAACAGAAGAAUAAGAGUCAGAAACUGGACCAUCCAGGAAACCCCAGGAAGGGUACAUCCAGAAGAAAGGUGGAAGAAGGAGAAGAAGGUGAGGGAGAUUUUUUUUGAAAAUCCUAUAGAACUGGGAUUCAGUUACCAUGGCAACUUGCUCUCUGAUUCUGUUUUUGCCUUUCUUCCUGUGAUCCUCUCAUCUUUACCAUGAAGCAAGCUGUGUUUUCUUGCCCAUUUAAAAAGAAACCUUUUAGUGAGGUAUGAAACCUACAGAAAAUUGCACAAGUAAUAAACAUCAACAUGACAAAUUAUUCACAAAAUGAACAGCCUGGUUUGAGGGUAUGUGUUAGGUACAUGAAGGGUAUAUGUCUGGAAACAAAAUAAUGUACAUUUCAGGAGAUCAACAAAGUUAUAUAUAUAUAUAUAUAUAUAUUUUGAAGGAGGUCAACAAAGUUUUAAACUGAAAAAUGAGUAGCUAUUUAGAUCUAAGGAGGUAAAGAACAUGAUAUUGUAAAGUGUUAAUACCUGGAGUUUUAAGUGGUUGCCUCUUAGGAGUAUUGGGGGGUAAAAGUAAGUGGGGCAAUAUUCUUUUCAUGAUUUGUAUUUUUGACUUUUAAAAAUAUAUAUUACAUAUUGCAAUUUGAGAAAUAAUUUCUUAUUUACAAUUAAUUAAUCAACAUUUAUAAUCUAUCCUCCUCUACUCUAAACAAGACCUUUGUCAUCACUUCAAAUGAUCCUCUAGGUUUUUCUCUGUUUUGCUUCAAUUAUCUUGACCUUUAGUAUUAUCUUGAUAAUGUUUUAAAUCAUGGCUCUACUAUUUGGACUUAUUUAUGUAUUGUGGGAAGAUUUUGAGCCACAUUUUAUUUCCUAACUAUAAAUUAGACUGGUCUGUUUACCCACAAUGGCAUCUACUAUCCCACGUUACAAUGCUGAUACCAAUUACGUGUUUUUUUCCAACAUAGCACCCCAAGCAAUUCUCUGACUCCUGAAAGAUGUCCUACAGUUCAACUUAACUCAAACACUGCUUGGAGAUAGCAUCAGAUGCCACGGAUUAAGGAUUGGGUCCUAGGAGACCCACACCCCUCCUCCCACUUCAAGAUAUCAAAGUCCAGGCUGGACCAAAGUCACCUGUGCUUCUGACUGGCAAUAAACUGGAGUCCCAACAACCUCCUCUUGGGUUUGACUCAUUAUGGGUUUAUUAUAAAAAGAUUCUAACCUAGUUAUAGGCAGAUGGAAGAGAUGCACAGGGCAAGAUAUGGGGAAAGGUCAUGUAGCGGUCAUGUCCUCUCUGAACUGAGCUACUGUCUCCAAAUUUGCACGUGGUCACCAACCCGGAAGUUCCCUGGACCGUGUCCUUUUGGGGUUUUAUGGAAGUUUCACGACUUUGGUGCUACUGAUUAAAUCACUGGCCAUUGGUGAUGGAUUCAACCUCCAGCCCGAGGCCCCUUCCUGGAGGUGGGUGAAUGGGUGGAACUGGAAG
rnacentral:lncRNA from 1 species